rnacentral:rRNA from 1 species
UACGGGGGGAGCAAGCGUUGUUCGGAUUUACUGGGCGUAAAGGGCGGCGUUAGGCGGUCGUGACAAGUCACUUGUGAAAUCUCCGGGCUUAACUCGGAACGGUCAAGUGAUACUGUCGGACUAGAGUACAGGAAGGGCAACUGGAAUUCUCGGGUGUAGCGGUGAAAUGCGUAGAUAUCGAGAGGAACACCUGCGGCGAAGCGGGUGCUGG